CAGUAGCCGCGGGAAUACGGAGGGUGCAAGCGUUAAUCGGAAUUACUGGGCGUAAAGCGUGCGCAGGCGGUUAUAUAAGACAGAUGUGAAAUCCCCGGGCUCAACCUGGGAACUGCAUUUGUGACUGUAUAGCUAGAGUACGGCAGAGGGGGAUGGAAUUCCGCGUGUAGCAGUGAAAUGCGUAGAUAUGCGGAGGAACACCGAUGGCGAAGGCAAUCCCCUGGGCCUGUACUGACGCUCAUGCACGAAAGCGUGGGGAGCAAACAGGAUUAGAUACCCCGGUAGUCCCUGUCUCUUAUAC
rnacentral:rRNA from 1 species